rnacentral:misc_RNA from 1 species
GGAAGUAAAAGCGUAACAAGGUCUCCGUUGGUGAACCAGCGGAGGGAUCAUUACAGGACUCGCAAGACUCCUACAACCCUGUGAACUUAACUAUAAGCACGUUGCUUCGGCGGGUGUCUCGGAGGGGGUUCUCCCUCCCCGAGACGCUAAACCCGCCGGCAGCCUACUAUACUCUGUCUCUUUGCGUUGGCAUCUCGAGUACAAUCAAACAAGUCAAAACUUUCAACAACGGAUCUCUUGGUUCUG